CGCAAAUACUGAGCUCUCCUCUUCUUUCCAAGCUAUUUGCGAACUAUUUCUCUAUCGUAUUCUUGCUGCUUUUGAGAUAAUGGGUUCGAUGAAGGUCCAGGCUCUCCUCCUCGCCUACGUCCUUCUCGCGAUGCUUUUGCAUCCUUGCCUUUGCCAAGGCAUGGAAGCCUCAGCAACAGCAAAUGCCAGGAUAAUUGACCGCAAGGCAAUUGAUCAAGGGAUUGCUUACGUGCUGAUGUUUGUGGCCCUCCUUGUUACUUACAUUAUUCAUUGAUCUGGACUUAAUCCAUCAAUAGACGUGGUUUCCUUUUUUCUGUAAUAAGAACCAUGCAGCUCUCUUACAAUUUGCAGCCAAUGGUUGCAGCCCUAGUUACUUGUGCUCCAUUUAGCAAUUGUAAAAAUAUGAGAUUAAGCAUGAUAACAAUUAAAUGAAAGAUCAUCAUUGGGUCAUUGACCAA